UAGUAUUUGGGCACUCAGAAGAUGGCCAACGGAAACUAUUUUUUUGGUCAAAGGAAAAAUUAAACCAAUUUUAAGGAAAUUAACUUUCAUAACUUUGACACUCUUAUUAAAAUGUGAAAACAUUUGUACAUAUAUGAUAUAAACACAUACUAUUAGUUUAACAUUACAACCCUUAAAAAACAAUUUCAGUAGAAAAUAUUUUUCAUAUAUAAGUUAUUUUCCGCAAAAUAAAUGGAGCCCUAAUUGAUGAAAAUUUUCCCUCAUAAUGUGUGCUGGGACAGGGACACAAGGAAUACUUGAGAAACCACAUUUUACCGAAUCCACGUACCUAUAUCAGUUCAAGAGGGUACACUUUUCCAAAGAAGACAGAGGUCCUUUUAACAAAGAUUACACCAUUGAAGGAUAAAGAGGAAGUUACUGAAGGAAAUGAUGCAAUGGAAGAGUGAAAAUCAUCAACAUCAUGGUUUAGAUUUUAACAACUUUAUUUUGUUCUUUGUGGCCUUUGUGAUGACAGUAUCUUUUGUAAUUUCCUAUUUCAAAACCUCAAUGAAUCCAUAUUGAAACGUUUUUGCUCCA